UUAAGUUAUUAAGGGCGCACGGUGGAUGCCUUGGCACUAGAAGCCGAUGAAGGACGUUACUAACGACGAUAUGCUUUGGGGAGCUGUAAGUAAGCUUUGAUCCAGAGAUUUCCGAAUGGGGAAACCCAGCAUGAGUUAUGUCAUGUUAUCGAUAUGUGAAUACAUAGCAUAUCAGAAGGCACACCCGGAGAACUGAAACAUCUUAGUACCCGGAGGAAGAGAAAGAAAAUUCGAUUCCCUUAGUAGCGGCGAGCGAAACGGGAAGAGCCCAAACCAACAAGCUUGCUUGUUGGGGUUGUAGGACACUCUAUACGGAGUUACAAAGGACGACAUUAGACGAAUCAUCUGGAAAGAUGAAUCAAAGAAGGUAAUAAUCCUGUAGUCGAAAAUGUUGUCUCUCUUGAGUGGAUCCUGAGUACGACGGAGCACGUGAAAUUCCGUCGGAAUCUGGGAGGACCAUCUCCUAAGGCUAAAUACUCUCUAGUGACCGAUAGUGAACCAGUACCGUGAGGGAAAGGUGAAAAGCACCCCGGAAGGGGAGUGAAAUAGAACCUGAAACCGUGUGCUUACAAGUAGUCAGAGCCCGUUAAUGGGUGAUGGCGUGCCUUUUGUAGAAUGAACCGGCGAGUUACGAUUUGAUGCAAGGUUAAGCAGUAAAUGUGGAGCCGUAGCGAAAGCGAGUCUGAAUAGGGCGUUUAGUAUUUGGCCGUAGACCCGAAACCAGGUGAUCUACCCUUGGUCAGGUUGAAGUUCAGGUAACACUGAAUGGAGGACCGAACCGACUUACGUUGAAAAGUGAGCGGAUGAACUGAGGGUAGCGGAGAAAUUCCAAUCGAACCUGGAGAUAGCUGGUUCUCUCCGAAAUAGCUUUAGGGCUAGCCUCAAGUGAUGAUUAUUGGAGGUAGAGCACUGUUUGGACGAGGGGCCCCUCUCGGGUUACCGAAUUCAGACAAACUCCGAAUGCCAAUUAAUUUAACUUGGGAGUCAGAACAUGGGUGAUAAGGUCCGUGUUCGAAAGGGAAACAGCCCAGACCACCAGCUAAGGUCCCAAAAUAUAUGUUAAGUGGAAAAGGAUGUGGCGUUGCCCAGACAACUAGGAUGUUGGCUUAGAAGCAGCCAUCAUUUAAAGAGUGCGUAAUAGCUCACUAGUCGAGUGACACUGCGCCGAAAAUGUACCGGGGCUAAACAUAUUACCGAAGCUGUGGAUUGUCCUUUGGACAAUGGUAGGAGAGCGUUCUAAGGGCGUUGAAGCAUGAUCGUAAGGACAUGUGGAGCGCUUAGAAGUGAGAAUGCCGGUGUGAGUAGCGAAAGACGGGUGAGAAUCCCGUCCACCGAUUGACUAAGGUUUCCAGAGGAAGGCUCGUCCGCUCUGGGUUAGUCGGGUCCUAAGCUGAGGCCGACAGGCGUAGGCGAUGGAUAACAGGUUGAUAUUCCUGUACCACCUAUAAUCGUUUUAAUCGAUGGGGGGACGCAGUAGGAUAGGCGAAGCGUGCGAUUGGAUUGCACGUCUAAGCAGUAAGGCUGAGUAUUAGGCAAAUCCGGUACUCGUUAAGGCUGAGCUGUGAUGGGGAGAAGACAUUGUGUCUUCGAGUCGUUGAUUUCACACUGCCGAGAAAAGCCUCUAGAUAGAAAAUAGGUGCCCGUACCGCAAACCGACACAGGUAGUCAAGAUGAGAAUUCUAAGGUGAGCGAGCGAACUCUCGUUAAGGAACUCGGCAAAAUGACCCCGUAACUUCGGGAGAAGGGGUGCUCUUUAGGGUUAACGCCCAGAAGAGCCGCAGUGAAUAGGCCCAAGCGACUGUUUAUCAAAAACACAGGUCUCUGCUAAACCGUAAGGUGAUGUAUAGGGGCUGACGCCUGCCCGGUGCUGGAAGGUUAAGAGGAGUGGUUAGCUUCUGCGAAGCUACGAAUCGAAGCCCCAGUAAACGGCGGCCGUAACUAUAACGGUCCUAAGGUAGCGAAAUUCCUUGUCGGGUAAGUUCCGACCCGCACGAAAGGCGUAACGAUUUGGGCACUGUCUCAACGAGAGACUCGGUGAAAUCAUAGUACCUGUGAAGAUGCAGGUUACCCGCGACAGGACGGAAAGACCCCGUGGAGCUUUACUGUAGCCUGAUAUUGAAAUUCGGCACAGCUUGUACAGGAUAGGUAGGAGCCUUUGAAACGUGAGCGCUAGCUUACGUGGAGGCGCUGGUGGGAUACUACCCUAGCUGUGUUGGCUUUCUAACCCGCACCACUUAUCGUGGUGGGAGACAGUGUCAGGCGGGCAGUUUGACUGGGGCGGUCGCCUCCUAAAAGGUAACGGAGGCGCUCAAAGGUUCCCUCAGAAUGGUUGGAAAUCAUUCAUAGAGUGUAAAGGCAUAAGGGAGCUUGACUGCGAGACCUACAAGUCGAGCAGGGUCGAAAGACGGACUUAGUGAUCCGGUGGUUCCGCAUGGAAGGGCCAUCGCUCAACGGAUAAAAGCUACCCCGGGGAUAACAGGCUUAUCUCCCCCAAGAGUUCACAUCGACGGGGAGGUUUGGCACCUCGAUGUCGGCUCAUCGCAUCCUGGGGCUGUAGUCGGUCCCAAGGGUUGGGCUGUUCGCCCAUUAAAGCGGUACGCGAGCUGGGUUCAGAACGUCGUGAGACAGUUCGGUCCCUAUCCGUCGUGGGCGUAGGAAAUUUGAGAGGAGCUGUCCUUAGUACGAGAGGACCGGGAUGGACAUACCUCUGGUGUACCAGUUGUCGUGCCAACGGCAUAGCUGGGUAGCUAUGUGUGGACGGGAUAAGUGCUGAAAGCAUCUAAGCAUGAAGCCCCCCUCAAGAUGAGAUUUCCCAACUUCGGUUAUAAGAUCCCUCAAAGAUGAUGAGGUUAAUAGGUUCGAGGUGGAAGCAUGGUGACAUGUGGAGCUGACGAAUACUAAUCGAUCGAAGACUUAAUCAA
rnacentral:rRNA from 1 species